CGAACGCUGGCGGCGUGCCUUACCCAUGCAAGUCGGACGGUCCCAUUGGGGAGACCCGAGGGGAUAGUGGCAGACGGCUGAGUAACACGUGAGGACCUAUCCAGUUGAGGGGGAUAGCCGCUCGAAAGAGCGGGUAAUACCGCGUAAGCAGAGGUGACGUAGGGUUAUCUCUGGAAAGCAGGGGAGACUUUGCGUGACUGGAGGGACUCGCGGCCCAUCAGGUAGUAGGUGGGGUGAAGGCCCACCUAGCCGAUGACGGGUAGCUGGUCUGAGAGGAUGGCCAGCCAGACUGGGACUGAGAGACGGCCCAGACUCCUACGGGGGGCAGCAGGGGGGGAUCUUGGUCAAUGGGGGAAACCCUGAACCAGCGACGCCGCGUGAGGGAAGAAGGUCUUUGGAUCGUAAACCUCUUUUGCCAGGGAAGAAGGCUUGGGUGAGAAUCCAGGCUUGACGGUACCUGGCGAAUAAGCCCCGGCUAACUACGUGCCAGCAGCCGCGGUAAUACGUAGGGGGCGAGCGUUGUCCGGAUUUACUGGGCGUAAAGAGCGCGUAGGCGGUUGGUAGAGUCGGCUGUGAAAUCUCUGGGCCCAACCCAGAGGGGUCGGCCGAGACCUAUCGACUUGAGGGUGGUAGAGGAAGGUGGAAUUCCGGGUGUAGUGGUGAAAUGCGUAGAGAUCCGGAGGAACACCAGUGGCGAAGGCGGCCUUCUGGGCCAUACCUGACGCUGAGGCGCGAAAGCGUGGGGAGCGAACCGAAUUAGAUACUCGGGUAGUCCACGCCCUAAACGAUGGACGCUAGGUGUCGGGGGUAUCGACCCCCCCGGUGCCCGAGCGAACGCAGUAAGCGUCCCGCCUGGGGAGUACG
rnacentral:rRNA from 1 species